rnacentral:lncRNA from 1 species
CUGGAUUGAAAAGACAGAUAAAGGAACAACCCACCGGAAGGGCAUACCUCAAGGGGCACCAAUCUCCCCCGGCAAAGAUCUAUCUGCGCGAAGCCGACCUAUGGAUAGAAAGAAAGAUGCAGGAAAGGCAAAUGAAAGAAGAAAGCAAAAUUCGCUUUGGGAGUGUGAGAUAGGCAGACGGGGAGUACGCAGCCGAACAACCGCUGGGGUUUCCAGCAGUGAUAGCUGAACUAAUCAGAUGGGCCGCCCCAAACCUUACGCUGACAUUUUAAUCGGAAAUCAACAUCGGGUCCCGGCUAUCCGAAAAACGCAGACUGAAGCGGAAGAUCACAAAAUGCAACACAACAAGGGGGUCGUUAGACCGUAGCUUGCGCGAAGGAAGAAGCUAAUCAAUCAGAAUUGAGACAGGGAGGAGAGGCGAAAGAGAGAUUUUCGAGCCUGCAAGCAGCAAGCAACAACGGCUUUUCAGCCGUUGCGCGCUAGCUUGUAGUUUAGGGGUAUAGUAGGGGUAGGAUAGAAAGAAAGAUGCAGGAAAG